AGCUCUGCGCAGCGACGAUAUCGUACCCAAUGAGGAACAUCCGAGGUGCGAUUAUUGCUAAUUGAAUAAAUACAAAUGAUUACUAAGUCAACGGCGGGUCGACGUCAACCUUGCGGUUAUAUUAUAGGCAUGAACCAUCCAUAGUUU